AAAAUAUUUGGUCUCGUGCCAAAUUUACACCUGUGUGCACCAUUGUCUGUAUUGGUAGCUCGAGCGCGCUCCGGAAGCUCAACACUUCCAUUAGGGGCGCCUACCCUUGCGGGUCACAUCCCGCUUGGUUGGGCUACCGCCUUUUUUUGAAAACCUUUUUGUUUGUCUUUUGUCUGAACGAAGAGUUGAUCUUAAUUGAUUAAUGAUUGAAAA
rnacentral:misc_RNA from 1 species